CAUACGCCCCCGCCCCUCUUCUUACCAGAAAGAUGUUUGUUUCUGUCAGCGCGAUGCGUGGAGAAACCCGCUGGCUGCACCGCUUCGGAUUGCGUCUCUCCAGUUAGCCAUGUUUCCGUGAAGCAGAGAACGUUACAGUCUCUGAUGUCCCUCUGGAAUGCUACCCUUGCUCGGAUUUCAUCAACCUUGUUGUCAAGAGACUGGACAUUGGCAAGAAGAAUGCUAGGGAGUGGUGCACGAUGUGCCCGUCUCCGGAGUCUUACCAGAAGACCGCUUCGUUUCCCUCUUUUUCUGAGUCGUUUUUUUUUUUUUUUUGAAAACUCUAUAGAUCUAUCAUGGCUGCAGGGAAGAUGUGUCUGUGUGUGUCUGUCAAAGGGGCAAUGCAAUCAUCUUGUAAAAGUGGGAUGAAAAAUGUGUGGGUGAUUGCUAGUGCUAAUGGCUCGGUUAGCGUGUGAAUCAGAGGGCACAGUAGAGAGAGAGAGAGGAAAGGAAAGACGAUGAGCGUGAUAGAAAGGAGGAGAAAUGGGAAAAUGGAUAGAGAACUGAGGAAAAACACAUUAAGAAGAGAAAGCACAAGAGGUGUGGCGAGUGAGAACAUUAAUUUAAGAGAAAAGGGUGAAAGCGGCACAGUACUAGAAAUGAAUGGGAAUGAGAGAAAAGAGAAAUGAGUAGAUGAGUGUGAUUUAUGCUAAAGCAGCAGCUUGGUGGCUGUGUGUGACUGGAACUCUGUCUGCACUCUGUCAUAUUAGUAGGAGUGUUAAUGAAGUGCAUUAGGCAGCAGUGAUAUAUCUGAAGAGUGGGAUGUGUUUAGUUCCCUCUCUCCCCUCCCCAGAUCUGUCUACCUCCCUUUAUUUAAGGCCUUUAGCUAAACAUGCCGACUCUGACUAUGAUAAACAUGGUCUGUGUAGCAGCCAGCCAAAGCCAGUCUCACUGGGAGCAUCGUCCUCAAGGGCAGUGUUCAACCAUUAACAGAACUUCACAAGACAGUAAAGUAAGAGACCGCACAGAGCGAGGCAAAGAUGCAGCUAAUGCCACCGCUGCUCUAUACAGUCAGACGAUUUAUGUACCAGCACUUUGCAGAGUAACUGCAUAUUAAGCUACUUAUUCAUUUAAGGUGACUCAGGGACUUUACUUUAAAGUUUCCCUGUCUUCACAACUCUGUCUCACCGUAUAGUAUCCUGUCUCUGUCACCCC
ensembl:lncRNA